rnacentral:rRNA from 1 species
UACGGAGGGUGCAAGCGUUAUCCGGAUUCACUGGGUUUAAAGGGUGCGUAGGUGGGCAGGUAAGUCCAUGGUGAAAUCUCUGAGCUUAACUCAGAAACUGCCGUGGAUACUAUUUGUCUUGAAUAUUGUGGAGGUAAGCGGAAUAUGUCAUGUAGCGGUGAAAUGCUUAGAUAUGACAUAGAACACCAAUUGCGAAGGCAGCUUACUACACAGUUAUUGACGCUGAGGCACGAAAGCGUGGGGAGCAAACGGG